GCAGCCGGGCGUUUCGUCGCGGACCGACAUGUGAGCGGUCUGAGGAAAGUCCGGGCAACAUAGAGCGCUUCACUUCCUUAGGGAAGACUCCGGUGACGUUGUAGUAUCGUGGAAGAAAAUAACCGCCCGCUAUGUGCGGGUAAGGGUGAGAAGGUGGAGUAAGAGCCCACCGGGCGCUAUGGCGACAUAGUGUGCCGCACGACUUGAAGGUUGCAAUGCCAAGUAUACCGGCAGUAUGUAGGGUUGCUCGCCCGAUGCCGGGGGGUAGGCAGCGAAGAUAAAUGACGGAACUCCAGGAGCGUCUGCGCCACGUGCGGAUAGUCAUCUUGGUGACAUAACCCGGCUUAUAGCCCGACUGCAACC
rnacentral:RNase_P_RNA from 1 species